UUCCAGGUUGCUAUGUUGGCAUUAUUGCAUAGAUGAGAGACCAUCCAUGAUUCAAACACAUCAUCGACUGACGUGGUUUCAGAUUUGGAGCAGGAAGGGAUUACCGUGAACACUUACCACCACAUCUUGGCAAUGGUAUGUAUGGAUGACCGACGUUUAGAUGUUCAAAGUUUUACAACGAUUUUGGAGCAUAUAGGGGUUACCAUUGAAACGUACCUCAAUAUCUAGGCAAUGGUAUAUUGGAUGGGCAACGUUCAGAUGUACAAAGUCAUACAGCAGAUUUUAGAGCAUAUAAGAAUGCUGGGGUAUGUGUACUUGAAGAAAAAAGACGCAGACGGACUUGGAGAUGCAGACCAAGCAAAAUGUGCGUUUAUCUUUAUGAUGAACAGUAAUUCUGGAGCGUAGGAAUGUGCAUUCAACUUCUAGCUAUGGUGAAAGUAAAACUCGAAGUAUCGGACAAGAAACUCAAAACUAUUCGAUGAGAAACUCAGGCUAUCAGACGAGGAACCCGAACUAUCCAACAAGAAGCAGUUUCCUGUACCAUACACGAAGAAAAUAUAGUUCAUGGAACUACAGUUGUCGUAGAAUUGCCUUGCUGGUACUAAAAAAAUGCCGAUAACCAGAGGGGCACUGGUAGCCAAUCGAUGUCGCUCAUCAGAGUUGUUCUGGAACCCUUAUGUCAACAUAGUAAUCAACUGUUCUUGACAAGUAGACGACACUUGCUGCUUCUACCAGAUGACGCCAAUGGCGGAAGAAGGGACCCGAUGCCUGGAGUAACUUUGCAGUAUAAAAUUUUGCACUGUUCGAUUGGUCAAGAUAGAGAGGUUUUAGUGGAAUUCAGCCCUUGAUGAACAUGUCGUCUGUAUUUGCCCUGUCCUCUGUGGACAGAGAGCUCUUCCACACCUCGUGCACAUAUCAGAAUCCGCGAGGUAGGCGACGAAUUUAUUCAGGUUUAAAACUACAGGAAGACAGUGUUUUACAUUGUUGAAAGACAAAGAAAAAGAAUCGAUUCCAGAACGUGCCGUCCUGUGUUUGUUGUUUUCGACAGUUGAGGGGAGAGUCCGGUGCAUGCCAGAUACUAUCUAUUGAUAUCAAACACUCUGGUGAGAAAUAUAUGCAGAAGAAAGAACCAAGUAUGAUGAAUCCACGACAGACCUGGCGCAAGCAUACAGCAUGACACCACUACAGCCGUCAUGACAAAAGCAUAGUUAAACAAAUUAGACAUAAGCUAACAUGUAUAUAAUUUAAUAAUACCCCAGGGGCCUCCGUGGCCGAGUGGUUAAGGUCGCUGACUUCAAAUCACUUGCCCCUCAUCGAUGUGGGUUCGAGCCUCACUCGGGGCGUUGAAUUCUUCAUGUGAGGAAGCCAUCCAGCUGGCUUACGGAAGGUCGGUGGUUCUACCCAGGUGCCCGCUCGUGAUGAAAUAAUGCACGGAGGGGCACCUGGGGUCUUCCUCCACCAUUAAAGCUGGAAAGUCGCCAUAUGACCUAUCAUGUGUCGGUGCGACGUUAAAUCCAAAAAAAAAAAAAAAAAAUAAUACCCCAACGUACAAAGUAUAUUGGGCUAUGUUGGAGUCACGCAGUCCAGUCCAUCCGUCCGUCCGUUCUUUUGUCCACCAUGGCCGCUGGGAUGAUUUUCAUAAAACUGACAUACAUUAUAAACCACAUCAAGACGAUGUACAGAGCGCUCAACCUAGGUCACAAGGCCCAAUGUCAAGGUUACUCGUGGAGGUCAAAGGUCAAAUAGCUUAGCUUCAUGUCCGCUCUAUAUUGUCUAAACGGCUUUGAAAAUAUUUAGCUCGACUGUUUGAAGAAUAAGGAGGAUUACUGUACUUGCCUUGGUGUCUGUGUCACUGUUACCGUUGCAUUAAAAGUUAACAUUUUAGGACAAGUUUCUCAGUGUCACUGUAUCUUCUUACUACUGCCCUUAUUUACAUCCAACUUCACAUAAGUGCUGGUCUUGGUAAGGGAAAGACAUCUACAUGUAUUAGUUUAGGAACAAGUAUCCUAAAUGUCGAAGUCACUGGCUUAAAUAUUGUGAUAGUACUGGUUAAAGUUUCAUGAUAAGCUUCUCAGUUUCACAAUAUAACCUCACAUAAGGAUUGAUCUUAGCACGUGGCAGAAAUCUUUUUGUUUAGGGUCACGUUGCUUAAAGGUCAAGGUUACUGGGAUCAGAUGUUGUAACAGUGUUGGUUAAAGUCUUAUGGCACAUUUCUCAAUUUGACUUACAUCUCAUAACGGAUCUUAGAACUGGUAUCCCUCAUGUCCUAUCCUUUUUAGCUAUACCCACACUUCAUCUACGUUCCUCCCGACACCCACCCAAAAUGCGUUCCAUACAAAAACUUAUAUUUCAUGUUUCCAUCAACUUCCCUACUCCGCUGUCUUCACCUACCUCCUCCACCCCAUUUCACUGAACCUUUACCCUCGUCCGUAACCCCCGCCCCCAUCCAUAAAAAGGAUAAAAAACUCCUUUUCGAUCUCCCACACUUAUAAUAAUAACAAUAUCUUGUUAAACAUUUUCCUUAUAGUCGAGCAGACACAAUUAACUCAGAUCACUAGGUCCACGGUCAAGGUUACACCUAAAAAUCAAAAGUCAUGAUGGCAACAUUUUACUUUCCCUUUAUCAAAGUGAGGUCUGGGGGUAUUAAUCGACUUCAGUGAUAGCCUUAGUUGAUCAGGUGUUAGUGGCAUAAAUGUGUAACAUUUGCUUUAUUUUUUUGGGGGGGGGGGGGAGGGGGGCGGGGUAGGAAUGGUCUCUGCCCGUCCGUAACACUUUCGUGUCCAGGCCAUAUCUCCUAAACCACUUGAAGGAUUUUCAUGAAACUUGGGUCAAAUGAUCACAUCAAGACGAUGUGCAGAACUUAUAAGUUUGCCAUGUCGGCUCAAGGUCAAGGUCACAACUCAAGGUCAAAGGUUUUAGCCUUCCAUUUCGUGUCCGCUCUGUAUCUCCUAAACCUCUUGAAGGAAUUUUAUAAAACUCUGGUCAAAUGAUCACCUCAUCAAGAGGAUAUGCAGAACUUAUGAGUCAGCCAUGCCAGCUCAAGGUCAAGGUCACAACUUAGGGUUAAAGGUUUGAGCCUUCCAUUUUGUGUCCGCUCUGUAUCUCCUAAACCCCUUGAAGGAUUUUCAUGAAACCUGGGUCAAAUGAUCACCUCAUCAAGAUGAUGUGCAGAACCUAUGAGUUAGCUAUGCCGGCUCAAGGUCAAGUUCAUAAAGGUUUGAGUCUUCCAUUUUGUGUCAGAUCUGUAUCUCCUAAACCGCUUGAAGGAUUUUCAUGAAACCUGGGCCAAAUGAUUACAACACCAAGAACUCAUGAUUCAGCUAUGUCAACUCAAGGUCAAGGUCACAACUCAAGGUCAAAGGUUUGAGCUCUAUAUCUCCUAAACCCCUUGAAGGAUUUUCAUUAAACUUUGGUCAAAUGAUCAACUCAUCAAGACGAUGUGCAGAAUUCAUACAUAAGUCAUGUCAGUUCAUUGUUAAGGUCACAGCUCAAGGUCAAAGGUUCAAGUUACCCUUUCACUAUUCAUAACAGUGGCGGGGGUUUUAGAUGUCUUUCAAACUGCCAUGUAAUAAUUGAUUUUAGGACGGGAGAUAUUUGUUUGUUUCAGUGUAAGAUCGAUCAAAUCAUUCUAAAUACAUCUCGCGAAAAUGUAAACUCCAGUGUUCAAGCGUGAAAAAUAAUCAAUUUUACUAUAAAUCAAAGAAAUUUUAUAUAAUGCAAUUAAAUAUAUGUGUACUAUUAAUCAAAGAAAUUUUAUAUUAUGCAGUUAAAUGUAUGUAUACCAUAACACAAAGAAAUUUUAUAUUAUGCAAUUAAAUAUAUGUGUAUUAUAAAGAAAUUUUAUAUUAUGCAAUUAAAUAUAUGUGUACUAUAAAUCAAAGAAAUUUUAUAUUAUGCAGUUAAAUAUAUGUGUACCAAAUUGUACACGUAUUACAAGUAUAACAUCUCACUCAACGCGCAACGUUACGCUUAAAAUUAUGGCAAUAUAUAUGUUGGAAAAAGUUAUAUAGUUCUACUAGAUUGAUUUCUUUUACAUUUUAAUAUAAUUAUUUUUUAAUGUUUUUUUUUCUAUAAAAAAACAGAUUAGAUUCUCUAUAUAAUUCAUAUUCUUUCGCGUUAAAUUGAUGUUGUGUGCAAGUGAAAACUGUAUUUGGAUUUCUUACUUCUGAAACAGUGGGUUUAUCAGGGUAUAAUCUAUCGUUUUAUUUCAACAAUAUCUGAAAAUUUGGCAAAAAAUUCAGUAAAACUAUCAAAUUUAGCGAUAAAAUCAUAGCUCUUUUAUUUAUCCAAACACACUUUCUACUGUACUUUGUCUGGUUGGUAUUAAUGUAGCUUUUAAAAGUAAUUUUAGCCUCAUUUCUUUUUCACUGAAUUUUACACUGUUUGGUAUAACUCUUAAUCGACACGUAACUUUAUGCACUAACAUUAACUUUUGCGGCUAAAAUGACUUUUAAAGCAACUCUGUCUAUUAUCAGGAACAAUGUGUUAAACUGGUAAAUCUUUAGGAACGAUGGGAGGAAAAAUAAGCUGGUUUUUAGUCCUCGCUUUAAAUAAUUACUGGGAUAUAACGUUAGAUUAUAACAUGAUAAACUAAUUGUUUCAAACGGAGAGAAAUCCAAAUAUGAUUUUUCACUAUAGUACGGAACAACACUUCAACGCAAAAGGAUAUUAAUUGUAUGUAAGGACUGGAAAUCUGCUUCAAAAAGAAAAAAAGAAGCAUAAUACUGCUUACAAAAACACGAAAAUAAUACACGCCAAACUAUUAAAAUCUAAAAGAAACAUGUAUAUCGCGUAGACAUAUUUAACUUUUUUCCAAUAGCAUUGUGACGUCAUGAAAUGUAGCGUGACGUUACGCAUGGCGCAGGUCUCAGCGCGGUUGAAUAAGAUAACAUGAGAUAAAUUUAUUUUAACUCUGCAAGAUAAUAAAGCAGUACAAAAUAAGCGAUGAGUUUUUCAAUUAGUUAAAAAUUAAGAAUUAAAAUGAACGUGCAAUACAUAUAUAAAUCUGGUAUAAUAAUAAUAAUAAUAAAUAUGAUGAUGAUGAUGAUGAUGAUGAUGAUGAUAAUAAUAAUAGAUAAGUUUUUCAAUUAAUUAAACAUUAAGAAUAAAAAUAAACGUGCAAUACAUAUAUACAUAUAUAAAUCUGGUAUAAUAAUAAUAAUAAUGAUAAUAUCAAUAAUAAUAAUAAUAAUAAUGAAUCGACUUUCACGUAAUGCCGAGUUAACUUUCAUAACACCAGUUUUCAGUUUAUUCGGUGAAAGAAAUUUCGAUCUUGUACGGAAACCAACACAUGCCCCAUUUCUAUAUAUUUUUACAGCAGUAGUAGGUAACAAACAUCCAUAUUUUGAGGAGAUACGGCUUAAAAGUAAAGUUACACAACUUUGGACUGAAAUCAUUUUAACUGUUGUUAGAUAUUUUUUAAUUUAUGUUCCCAAGAUAUUCCCUUGAAGAAAUUUAACUUCACAUUAUUUUUCCUCAAGACCAGGUGACAUGUUGAACACAUCACCUAUGCCUGAUGGUCAAAGGCCCAAGGUCCAAUUCAAGGUCAAAGGUCAGAUAUUUGGUUUUUGAUCCAUAACUUCUGUGCCUAGAAGGGUUUUAUUACUUAAUGGAUUUGUUUCAAACUUGAAAUAGUUGUUCAACAUCAUCACCCAUAUCAUAUGACACAAGGUUCAUAACUCUUGCACCAAUAUUUCAUAACUUAUGCCCCCUCCCUCCUCCCCCACUUUUUUACUUAGAAUUUAAGGUUAAAGUUUUUGUACACUUUCACUCUCAGUUAUUACUAAAUGGAUUUGAUUCAAACUUAAAACAGAUGUUCCACCUUAUCAACCACAUCAUGUGACACAAGGUGCUUAACUCUGCCACCAAUUUUUCAUGAAUUAUGUCCCCUUUUACUUAGAGUUUAAGGUUAAUUUUGAUGCAUUUCCACUAUAUUUUAGUUAUUACUAAAUGGAUUUGAUUCAAAUUUAAAAUAGGUGUUCCACCUCAUCAACCACACCAUGUGAUACAAGGCGCAUAGCUCUGACACAUAUUUUUCAUGACUUAUGUCCGCUUUUACUUAAGAUUUAAGGUUAAUUUUGAUGCAUUUUCAUCUCAUAUAUAUAACUUCUGUGCCUGAAAGGGUUUUAUUACUGAAUAGAUUUGAUUCAAACUUAAAUUACUCGUUCCACAUCAUCACCCACAUUAUAUGACACAAGGUACAUAACUCUUGCACCAAUAUUUCCUGAAUUAUGCCCCCUUUUUGGUAAAAAUUUUACUUAUUUCAUGUUUUGAUACACUUUUUCUGUACCUCUCUUAUAAUUUGAUAUUUUUAACACAGACUCAAGUUAUUGUGCAACAUUUAUCCACCACUGGCGUCAUUAAACACUACAGUGACAGUUCUUGACAGAUUUAAAUGUUUUUGGUACACACGUGUAACAUCAUAAAAUACAAAUUUGACGCAUUUUCACUAUAUCUCAGUUAAUACGAAAUGCAUUUGAUUCAAACUAGAAGUAGUUGUUCCACAUCAUUACCCACAUCAUAUGACACAAGGUGCAUAACUCUUGCAUCAAUAUUUCCUGAAUUAUAUCCCUUUUUGGUUAGAAUUAUAUCUAUAUAGUGUUUUCAUACACUUUAUCUGUACCUCUCUUAUAAUUUGAUAUUUUUAACACAGACUCAGGAUAUUGUGCAAUUUUCAUCCACCAUUUGAGUCAAAUCGAACACUUCAGUGACAAUUCUUGACAGAUGUUGUUUUUUUUUGUACGCAGGUGUAACAUCAUAAAAUACAGGUCAAGUUCGAUUUAAAUUGCACUUUCUUUUGGCCAUGUCUUUCUUAUGAUUGCCAUACUUCUAUGACAAGACUGUAUUGUGGGGGUAUUCGUCACUCCUGUGACAGUUCUAGUUCUGCUUGCUGGUUGUUUCUUAAUGACAGUCAAAACUUUAUAUAUAUUCCUUUGAUUACAUUUUUUCUGACGGAGUUUGACGUUUUUAGUGAAAGCAUAGUUAAAAGGAAUGAUGUUAUUGUACAUGUAUUAAAUUUUAAUUUAAUUUAAUUUAAAAACAUUUAUCAGAUUUUCAUUAUGAUUAUAUUUUACAGUGUCAUGUGUGACUACGUGUGCUAUUUAUUGCAAAUAUAUUUUACAGUGUCAUGUGUGACUACGUGUGCUAUUUAUUGCAG